rnacentral:lncRNA from 10 species
AGUGCCUGCCCUGUGGAAGCCAGACCUAGGCGUAAAGCAGUUUAAGUAACUGAAGGUGUCUGCUUUCAAUACGCAUAAUAUCAGCAACACGCAGGACCAUCCAGACACCUUUUGUGUUAUGCUCAUGAAUUUGUUCCAAUAAAUGUGUUUUCUCCCUACCCAGGCAGUAUUUCAGCCCCUUUGAUUCACACACCACCUUUGCAUCGUUGGAAACACCUUUGACCAGCAAUGGAAAAUAAAGGGAACAUACUGCAGUUUCAAUUGUUGUGGGACUCAGGUUUUCUCUCAACACCGCAUACACACUUGGAGACAUGGGAAGAAGGUCUGAUGGAGAAUGUGGCUCUGUUGAAUCACUUCGGCUUAAAGAGAUAACAAGGGGGCAUGAAGUCAGGUGGCUGCAAGUCUGUGAGUGACAACUGUAGGAUAUUCUACAUGAUGGUGCCCAAAGAUUUAGUGCUAUAGAUGAAGAUUUUUAUGGAUUGUAUACACUUUCAUUAAAGAAACAGAAUGGUGAACGUAC